AACUACAAGCUUCAAAGAAAUGUAAUGGGUCAAAUUUAAGAUUGGUGCUACUAUAAGAAUCUACAAAUUUGGUGCCUAAUCUCUACCAAAUUUCAUCCAAGCAAGUGUUCAAGAAACUAUGGCAGACAGAGCUACCGAAAAAAUAAAAAUUACAUUCUGGAGAGUUUACAAAAACUUCAUUCCUACUUACAACAAUCUACAAAAAAGAAGAUUGAGGAGCUCGGCAGCAUGUCCUAGAUGCUCUAAUGGAGAAGAGUACCUAGAACAUGUUUUUCGUGAUUGUCAAGCUGUCAAGUAAAUAUGGAGCAUGUUAAAUGUCAAAUGGCCUACAAACAAUUCAAAUGAGUGUUAUAGACAGUGGAUGGAUUGGUUGUUCAUAGAAUAUUCUACAAAUAUAUGCAGGAUAACAAUAUGUGCAAUUUGGGCGAUCUGGGAGACAGAAACAAACAGGUGCAUGAAAGAAAAUAUCGAUAGAAUACAGAAAAGGUGCAUUUUAUCACAUCAUUCUUACAGGAACUUGAAGAGGUAAAAGUUCGUCACCUGUCAGACGUACUCAACCAGAGAGAUGGGGCCACCAGAAACGUCUUUUGUGAAGAUAAACUUCGAUGCAUCUUUUCUAGGUUGUUCGUACAAAUCCUGUUCGAGGUUGGUGGGGCGAGAGUUAGAAGGAAAAAAAUUUGGGAAUGAGAAUGAUAAUAAACAAUCAUGUACCAACCUCUUUUGCGGCAGAAGCGAUUAGGUGCCUCCAAGGAAUCCAAAUGGGUCUGGAUCUAGGAUUUCGGAAAGUGGUGGUUGAAGAGGAUAGUAUCAAUGUGAUAAAGAAACUGCAAAACCAAAAGGAAGACAUGUCUAUGAUUAGAGAUUACAUAGAAGAUGCGAGAAUAGAAAGUCGAGAUUUUGAGGAAUGCAUGUUCAGAUAUGUUGGAAGAAAUGCUAAUGAAACUGCCAAUUGACUAGCAAAAGAAAGUAUAAGUAGAGGAGAAACCACUUAUUUGAUGGAGAGAAUGCCCACGUCUGUGAUGGAAGCGGCAAAGGAAGACAACCAAUGAUCUGAGAUGAUGGAACAACUGGGAAAUGGCAACCGUCGAGGGAAUUUGGGGAUGGGUUCAGGAGAGAUGGAAAUGUUUUCUUAAAGAGAGUGUUCUAUUCCAUUAAGAAGCUGUUGAUUUUAUCUCUUCUGCUUUGGGUAGGUAGGUGCUCUUUUCUAGGCGGGUCUUUGUGCAUUUUACUAGGCUUGGC
rnacentral:lncRNA from 1 species